AUGGGUCAAGGACAUGAAGCAGCCAUUCCUUACCUGUAUUGGGAUGCCUGGGCGGAGGAGGAGGUGGAGAGGCGCCGGCGGGAGGAAGAGGAGAAGGCGCGGAAGACGGAGGAGAACCGGCGGAGACGCGAGGCACACGAUGCGGUCAUGGACUCCAUCAUGGAGGACGACCCCAAGGCUGGGCGCAAGAAUUUUCUGAUUGACACGUCUGUCCCUCCAAUGCGAUACACCGAUAGUAUCUACCAAGAUGAAUUUGGGCUAGAAGACUCUGCAAACAUCCUCUCCGUCAGCAUAGUCUCAUCAGAUGUAGGCUUCCCAGUCAAUAUCUAUGGCCGUGGCAUUGCCGGAGACAGCAUUGACUACAAGUGCAUUUAUCUCUUUCACCUCAAUAGAGAUGAUUGCCAGCGUCUCAACGAGGAUGGAAUGCUGAUUUUAACUGGCCCAAGUCGAGGUCUAGUGCUGGUUGAUUUCAUCUAUCUAGAGAUAGAUCUUAAAAUCAGGGAAGAUGGAGUGUCUCCAGACAGGCCAUUUAGCAAGGGUCUAAUAAGUAUUGAUGGCCGAGUGCUGUCUAGAGAGGAAGAUGUCGUGGUUAGAAGUGAAACCAUUGAGAGCUGGCUCAGCACUACGGAAGUUAGAUUCGCAACUGUUCUCAGCACAGUCGAGUGCACCUUUGAAAUCAAGCUCAUUGAGGGGCUUUUUAAAGGAAAUAUAACAGUUGGCAUCGCCGAUAAAGCUCGCAAGCUGGACAUUGAACAAACAAUUGUGAUUCAUGAUAGCACAGCAGAUGGUGUGGUUACAAGUGAUGAAAGUGGAGUUAUCAAACUCCGGCGAAGUGUCAUUACUAUCUGUCUGGAAAGAACGGUGAUGUUUCACAUAAAUAAUGAGGCUGCUGGUGUUUGUGCUGAACGAACCUCUGAUUUCACUCCACGCCGCACUGGUGCAGAUGAAGAGAAAAUUACAUGUGGUUCUGGGAAGUUUGGAUUCAGGGUUGUCUGGGGAUAUAUUGAAGCAGUAAGAGAACUUGACCAGCAAAUUCAGUUAUCUGGUGAUGUUCAGUUUGACGACAUUGUUGUUGCCUGCGGCAGUGGUCGAACCGCGUCUUUGCUUUAG
rnacentral:rRNA from 1 species